GUCUACGGCCCUACCAUGUUGAACACACCAGUUCUCGUCCGAUCACUGAAGUUAAGCAACAUUGGGCCAAGUUAGUACUUGGAAGGGUGACCGCCUGGGAAACCUUGGUGUCGUAGGCC
rnacentral:rRNA from 2 species